rnacentral:rRNA from 1 species
AUGGACGCCGCCGGAGGGGGAGGAGAAGAAGUGUUUGUUACCUACGCCCAAAUCGGGCCGUACUUCAACCUUCUGGCACUGGAGGGGCCGUCCGCGCAGCAUCGCAUCGAUCGCAUCGUCCCCUACCUCAUCUCCCUCCCUUCGUCCCCACGCCCGACGCCGACGCCGGAGUCCUCCGACUCCGACGACGACCACUUCUCCCUCACCUCCUCCGACGACGACACCGCCGCCCCCGCCGUUCCGGCGGCACAGGAUGGUGACGGCCAGGACCACAUCAGCCGUCUCCCGGACGACCUGCUCUCCAACAUCGUCUCCUGCCUCCCCACCAACGAAGCCGCGCGCACCAUGGUCCUCUCGACCCGCUGGCGCGGCGUCUGGGCGGCGACCCCGCUCCUCGUCCACGACGCCCACAUCAGGGCCGCCGACAGGCACGCCGUGCGUGCCCUCUCGCGCUGCGUGGCCGCUCACCCCGGCCCCGUCCGUGCCGUGCGCGUCACCCGCACCUCCUUCCACCGGCAGGAGUACGCGCUGGAGCGCCUGGUCGCCAGCCUCGCCGCCAAGAACGUCCAGGACCUCAUCCUCUUCAACCGACCCUGGCCGCUCGACAUGCCGCUCCCCGAUGACAUCCUCAGCUGUGGCUCUCUCACCCGCCUCUACAUCGGCUUCUGGCGCUUCCCAGACACUACCGCCCACCAGCCCGCAUUUCCCAACCUCCAUGAGCUCGGCCUUUUUCACUCCAUCAUCGAGGACCGGGAUGUCGAUGCCUUGCUCGCGCACUGCUUCAAGCUGAGAAUCCUCUCCUUUGCCAUGGCGUACAGCUGCCGUUCACGCCUCCGUAUCAGGUCCAGCAGCCUCCGCGUCAUGAUGGAAUGGAGAUGUGGUUUCAAUGAAAUCAUCGUCGAGGAUGCACCUUGCCUGGAGCGCCUGCUCUUCCAUAGCAUUUCCGAUCGGAGGCCCGUUAGGAUUGUCAAUGCGCCUAGGCUGGAGGUGCUCGGCUUCUUGGACCUCCAGGUCCACGCGCUCGAGAUUGGUGGCGUUGUCAUCAGGGCUGGUAUGAAUGUGAGAGCUAGGGCCAUGCUGCCAAGUUUGAAGAUGCUGGCUGUCAAGGUGCGGUUUUCGCACGACAUGGAGGUCAAGAUGCUGGACACUCUGCUCAGAUGCUUUCCUCGCCUUGAGACGCUUCACGUCAUGUCCAUUCAACCCAGUUCACCUGAUAGUGUUGAUUGUGCUGAGUUCUGGAAGUCCCUUGGCUCUUGCGAUUGCCUUGAGUCUCAUCUGAAGACAUUCGUCUUCCAUAGAUACCAGGGUCUGGAUUGUGAGUACUUGUUUCUUUGUUAUAUCUUGAAGAAGGGGAAGGUGCUUAAGACGCUGGGCUUUGAUUGUGCUGACAGUGAUGAUGUGGUAGUGGAGGGAGGCCCUAUGUCAGGUUCUUCUGUUGAGGGCAAUGCGCCAACAGGUGGAAGCAGUGGCAGUGAUGAUGUGGUAAUGGAGGGAGGCCCUAUGUCAGGUUCUGCUGGUGAGGGCAAUGUGUCUUCAGGUGGAAGUGGUGGCAGUAAUGAUGUGGUAAAGGAGGGAGGUCCGGUGUCGGGAUCCGUUGGUGAGGGCAAUGCGCCAUCAGGUGGAAGCAGGGGCAGUAAUAUUAUUUACGUUUGCGUUGCCUCCCCUUGCUGGACCUUUCAGAACGCCAUUGACUUGUCAGUGGAGGAUCCCUUCUGUGUGUUGAGGCAUGACAAGUGCUGGAUCGCUUCUCGAGUUAUGGCAUGA